UCGGGAAUUUUGGGCAAUGGGCGAAAGCCUGACCCAGCAACGCCGCGUGAGGGAUGAAGUAUUUCGGUAUGUAAACCUCGAAAGAAUGGGAAGAAUAAACAACGGUACCAUUUAUAAGCUCCGGCUAACUACGUGCCAGCAGCCGCGGUAAUACGUAGGGAGCAAGCGUUGUUCGGAUUUACUGGGCGUAAAGGGCGCGUAGGCGGCGCGGUAAGUCACUUGUGAAAUCUCUGAGCUUAACUCAGAACGGCCAAGUGAUACUGCUGUGCUAGAGUGCGGAAGAGGCAACCGGAAUUCUUGGUGUAGCGGUGAAAUGCGUAGAUAUCAAGAGGAACACCUGAGGCGAAGGCGGGUUGCUGGGCCGACACUGACGCUGAUGCGCGAAAGCCAGGGGAGCAAACG
rnacentral:rRNA from 1 species